GCUGGGCGUGGUGAUGCUUGCCUGUAGUCCCAGCUACUCAGGAGGCUGAGGCAGGAGGAUCGCUUGAGCCCAGGAGAUUGAGGCUGCAGUGAGCCAUCAUCGCUCCACUGCACUGCAACCUGGGCAACAGAGCAAGAUUCUGUCUCAA
rnacentral:SRP_RNA from 1 species